UGGGGACAUAAGUAAAUGCCAACAAAAUAACUUAGUUUGGUCAGUGUGCGUGUGAAUGCGUGCGUGUGAGUACGCGUGCGUGCGUGUAACCUUUAUUUAACUAGGCAAGUCAGUCAAGAACAAAUUCUUAUUUACAAUGACGGCCCGGACGACACUGGGCCAACUGUACGCCGCCCUAUGGGACUUCCAAUCAAGGCCGGAUGUGAUACAGCCUGGAUUUGACCAGGGACCAUCAUCAUGGCAAGCACAUAAAAUGUGCAGGUUUUGUAGCAGCUAAAACUGUUCACUUAUUUGUCAGUGACAAGUAACAUGACCAGAUGGACCAAUACAAUUACAUUUCACGCAUCUCGACAAAACUGCCCAAUCACAGCUGUGUAUGCAAACCAAAUGAUGAUCGGUAGCAGGAUUUUCUAACAGUAAAAAAAGGUAGCUACUACAUGCCAUGAAAAAAAAAGGUUUCCUAAUCAACUUGAAAAAUAAAUGGAGCCUAAUGAGAUUGAGCAGGUUCAGGAAACAAUACAGACACAAACAGAGACAGAGCCAGUGGCCGGGUCUUUUGAAGACCAUAAGGAUCCUUCCCUGGCCGCAUCUCAACACUUCAGCUUCAAGCAGAGAAGAGGAGAUCGUGUAAUUAUGGAAUGUAAGCUCUGCUUACCAAAGAUGGUGGAGGUGGCUGCCUACAAAAAAUCUGCAUCAAAUUUGAGGAAACAUGUAAUGGUUUGACAGAAUCAGCUUGACAGAAUCACACAGGACGAGACUGAGCAUCUAAGGCAGCAUUCAUCUGAUGAAGAGGACUUCUUCUCAUCACUGACAACCAAACGGGCCAGCUUCACGGUGCACUCCAGGGCCUGCUCCAGGGCCAGCUUCACAGUGCACUCCAGGGCCAGCUCCAGGGCCAGCUCCAGGGCCAGCUUCACGGUGCACUCCAGGGCCAGCUCCAGGGCCAGCUCCAGGGCCAGCGCCAGGUCCAGCGCCAGGUCCAGGGCCAGCUUCACGGUGCACUCCAGGGCCAGCUCCAGGGCCAGCUCCAGGGCCAGCGCCAGGUCCAGCUCCAGGGCCAGCGCCAGGUCCAGGGCCAGCUCCAGGGCCAGCUACAGGGCCAGCGCCAGGUCCAGGGCCAGCUCCAGGGCCAGCUCCAGGGCCAGCUCCAGGGCCAGCUUCACGGUGCACUCCAGGGCCAGCUCCAGGGCCAGCGCCAGGUCCAGCGCCAGGUCCAGGGCCAGCUUCACGGUGCACUCCAGGGCCAGCUCCAGGGCCAGCGCCAGGUCCAGGGCCAGCUCCAGGGCCAGCUCCAGGGCCAGGGCCAGCUCCAGGGCCAGCUCCAGGGCCUACACACUGCUACUUCUCCACUACUAUGUUGCCAAUAUGUAUCUGAUCCAGAUUGAUUGAUCUGGUUGCAAUUUGACCUUACUAAUUAAGCAUAUUAUGAUUAGAUGCUAAAGACAAGUGAAAUGAAAUCUAUUCCAAACACAGUCAAAUGAAGCUAUCGAUGGCAUAGAUCCUCCAGCUCAUUGAUUAGAGCAGAGGUGUACUACCGUGCCCUUGUUCCACUGUAUAGGUACUGAGCCUGUAGCUAUUCAAAUACCUCAAGCUGUUGUACAUGUGACAAUAUUCUGUAAGGAUUUCUUCUUAUCGAGUAACGAUUGACUACUAUGGUGCUCCUUUAUUGAAAGCAGUUGUUAACCAAUCAACAUUGUUCAUGUCAUGAGCAAUAGAUUUGUUAUUGAUGACAGUAACUAUGGCGUAAAUGUUAUUGUUUAGUUCCCUAUGAAGAUGCUGCAUUCUUGGCUGUCCCUGACUUCACCCCCCCCCCCCCAGUGUUGGUAGUAAGGCCUGCCAUAUUUCCAUGACCCCUGGGGCUAUCGAUCGCCCCCCCUCCACCCCUCGCCCUCCAGACAGUGGCAAAGCAUAGCCUGCCAGAGACCCACUGAAGCCCACAGUUAAGGGAUAUUUAACACCUAACCUAAGAGGACACACUCACCUGUGUGUCUGU
rnacentral:lncRNA from 1 species